UCUCCGUUGGUGANCCAGCGGAGGGAUCAUUAUAGAGUUUUUAACUCCCAAACCCAUGUGAACCUACUAUUUUGUUGCCUCGGCAGAAGCUGCUCGGUGCACCCUACCUUGGAACGGCCUACCCUGUAGCGCCUUACCCUGGAACGGCUUACCCUGUAACGGCUGCCGGUGGACUACCAAACUCUUGUUAUUUUAUUGUAAUCUGAGCGUCUUAUUUUAAUAAGUCAAAACUUUCAACAACGGAUCUCUUGGUUCUGGCAUCGAUGAAGAACGCAGC
rnacentral:misc_RNA from 1 species